UAGUCUGCAACUCGACUACAUGAAGCUGGAAUCGCUAGUAAUCGCAAAUCAGCAUGUUGCGGUGAAUCCGUUCCCGGGUCUUGUACACACCGCCCGUCACACCAUGGGAGUCGGAAAUGCCCGAAGUCGGUGACCUAACUGAAAGGAAGGAGCCGCCGAAGGCAGGUCUGGUGACUGGGUGAAGUCGUAACAAGGUAGC
rnacentral:rRNA from 1 species